AGAGUUUGAUCAUGGCUCAGAAUGAACGUUGGCGGCGUGGAUUAGGCAUGCAAGUCGAGGGAGAACCCGCAAGGGGGACACCGGCGAACGGGGUAGGAUCACCUCGGUGACGUACCCUCCGGACGGGGAUAGCCACGGGAAACUGUGGGUAAUACCCGAUGACCUGACAGAGGUUUAAGCUUUGUCAGCAAAGGUGAGAUUCCACCGGAGGAGCGGCUGAGGCGCUAUUAGCUUGUUGGUGAGGUAACGGCUCACCAAGGCGACGAUGGCUAGGGGGUGUGAGAGCAUGGCCCCCACCACUGGCACUGAGACACUGGCCAGACACCUACGGGUGGCUGCAGUCGAGAAUCUUCGGCAAUGGGCGCAAGCCUGACCGAGCGACGCCGCGUGCGGGAUGAAGGUCUUCGGAUUGUAAACCGCUGUCGGAGGGGAUGAAGUGUAUGGGAGCAAUCUCCUGUAUUUGACAGAGCCUCGGAGGAAGCACGGGCUAAGUUCGUGCCAGCAGCCGCGGUAAUACGAACUGUGCAAACGUUAUUCGGAAUCACUGGGCUUAAAGGGUGCGUAGGCGGUCGCACAAGUCAGGUGUGAAAUCCCCCGGCUCAACCGGGGAAUAGCGCUUGAAACUAGGUGACUUGAGUGAGGUAAGGGUACGCGGAACUUCUGGUGGAGCGGUGAAAUGUGUAGAUAUCAGAAGGAACGCCGGUGGCGAAAGCGGCGUACUGGGCCUUGUCUGACGCUGAGGCACGAAAGCUAGGGAAGUGAACGGGAUUAGAUACCCCGGUAGUCC
rnacentral:rRNA from 1 species